rnacentral:lncRNA from 1 species
UCUGCAUUUAAUUUUUCGCCUCUUUAAACUUUUAAUUUGUGUUAUUUAUCAAAUCUUCCAAACAAAUUAACGCCGUAAUAACCCAUUUUUCCCGGCCCAUAAUUAACCAAAUUAAAAAAAACGAAAUAUAAAAUUUUAAUAACAGUCCACUACAAACACAAUAAGUAGCAGGCCCAAAACCCAAAUGCACUACCUAAUUACAAACCCAACUAAACCCUAACCCAAUACAAACCCCAAAAGCCCAGCUUGCAGCCCACAACACUAAAAACAAUAGAAACCCUAGCAACAGUUUCAGCCGCCGCAACAGUGGCCCCAGCGCUGCAGACUGUCCUCCGCGCGUGUCAAGCCUCCGCGCGCGUGCGCCUCCAAGCUAGCAUGUACCUGCAACGAACAAUAAACAGCAAGCAGCAAGAGAGGCAAAAUAACAGAUUGAUAGCUAAAAAAUAAAGAGUUUUUUUGUAUUUUUUCUUUUUUUCAUUUUUCGGUUAUAUAAAGCCACUUGUGAUACUGUAAAAGGGAUUACGCAUUCGAAAGAAAAAAAAAAGAAUCAAAUAGCAGCAUAAUUUUAAGGUGGUUUCCGAUUUCUACUUCUUUUUUUUUCUUUUUCCUUUGAUUUGUUUUUAUUUGUUGAUUAAAAGAUAAAAAAAAGGGAAGUUCUUACCUACAUAUUGCGCCGCCAGGAGCCUUCGUCCCUUCUGUUUCAAAUCGAAAUGGGGUGGGCAAUGGUCGAAUCAAAAGCGGCGCACAUAGGAUAGAUUUUAGGGUUGGUUAGAUUUUUUUUUUUUAGAAAUGGAGUGUCUGCUAAUGUUAACUUAUAUAUAGCGUAUGAAACGACGACAUUUGAUGCCAUUUUAGUGGUUUCAAAAUGGCGUCGUAUAGGGCCGAGAUC